rnacentral:rRNA from 1 species
CGCAAUGGGCGCAAGCCUGACGGAGCAACGCCGCGUGAGUGAAGAAGGGUUUCGGCUCGUAAAGCUCUGUUGUCGGGGACGAAUGUGGAGAUGGUGAAUAACCAUUUCCAAUGACGGUACCUGACGAGGAAGCCACGGCUAACUACGUGCCAGCAG